GAUGAACGCUAGCGGCGGGCUUAAUACAUGCAAGUCGAGGGGCGGUAGCAAUACUACACCGGCGCACGGGUGCGUAACGCGUAUGCAAUCUACCUUUAUCUGGGGGAUAGCCCGGGGAAACCCGGAUUAAUACCGCAUAACAAAUUGAUUGGCAUCAAUUAAUUUUAAAAGAUUUAUCGGAUAGAGAUGAGCAUGCGUAAGAUUAGAUAGUUGGCGAGGUAACGGCUCACCAAGUCUACGAUCUUUAGGGGCUCUGAGAGGAGAAUCCCCCACACUGGCACUGAGAUACGGGCCAGACUCCUACGGGAGGCAGCAGUAGGGAAUAUUGGGCAAUGGGCGCAAGCCUGACCCAGCCACGCCGCGUGCAGGAAGAAGGCCCUCUGGGUUGUAAACUGCUUUUGACCGGGAAGAAAAGAAUCUUUGCGAAGAUAGUUGACGGUACCGGCAGAAUAAGCCACGGCUAACUACGUGCCAGCAGCCGCCGUAACAC
rnacentral:rRNA from 1 species